UAGGGAAUCUUCCACAAUGGACGCAAGUCUGAUGGAGCAACGCCGCGUGAGUGAAGAAGGCUUUCGGGUCGUAAAACUCUGUUAUUGAAGAAGAACGUGUGUGACAGUAACUGGUCAUGCAGUGACGGUAUUCAAUCAGAAAGUCACGGCUAACUACGUGCCAGCAGCCGCGGUAAUACGUAGGUGGCAAGCGUUGUCCGGAUUUAUUGGGCGUAAAGCGAGUGCAGGCGGUCUUUUAAGUCUGAUGUGAAAGCCUUCGGCUUAACCGAAGA
rnacentral:rRNA from 1 species